CGUAUUUAAUUUGAUGAACAAAACGGGAAAAUGGUUGGAAAUAUUUCCCCGGUUUGAUUUUUUUUAAAUAAACCUUUUGUGGAUCAGUCUCGUCAGUCGUCACCAACAAUGAUGAAAAGGAUGUAUCGGAGAUAAAUCAACGAGGAGAUGGGUGCAUGGCUAUACGUUAAAAUUGUUGGAGCAGCUUUCUCUGAUCCUCUAGCUUGACCAUAUUGAGCCUUGGUUGUCUACCAUAUUGAUGAACACAAGAUAUACGAUCUCGUGUAGACUACGUUCUCUAUCGAACCAAAGAAGAAUAAGGCAUAAAACCAUCUACCCAUGCAGAGAACUGCAGAGAAACAGAGAGAGAGAGAGAGAGAGAGAGAGAGAGAGAGAGAGAGAGAGAGAGAGAGAGAGAAAUUAAAAGUUAAACAUAA